AUUUUAUCAUCAUUGUUUACAAGCUGGCAGCUCUGUGGUGGACACCAGGUGGCGACGGCUCUGCGCUGGUGGACACCAGGUGGCAGCGGCUCUGCGCUGGUGGACACCAGGUGGCGGCGGCUCUGCUACAGGCACCAGGCAGCGACAGCUCUGCAGUGGUGGGCACCAGGUGGCAGCGGCUCUGCACUGGUGGACACCAGGUGGCGGUGGCUCUGCGACAGGCACCAGGUGGCAACAGCUCUGCGGUGGUGGACACCAGGUGGCGACAACUCUGCGGUGGUGGACACCAGGCGGCGACGACUCUGCAGUGAUGGGCACCAGGUGGCGACGGUUUAGGCUACUUUGUGGCGGCGGCGGCGGCGGUGUGGGCUGCUCUGUGGGGUUGAGGUCCGUCGGUGAAUCACAGAAUCUGCGCUCUCCUGCAGGGUGUGCCCUGAAAACUGGCGACGUGCACGAAAAAAAAGACAAAAGGAC